AAACUAGGAUUAGAUACCCUAUUAUUAUGAAGCUAAACAUUGUAAGUAAAUAUUAAUUAUAAAAGCAAAAAAUUAUGGCGGUAUCUUAAGCUUUUCAGAGGAAUUUGCUCUGUAAUGGAUAAAACACCUAAAUCUUACUUUAAUUUGUGAGCAAUUUGUAUACCACUAUUAAAAUAAUAAUAUACAAUUAUUAUUAGAAUAUAUAUAAUAUAAUAAAUUAAGUCAAGGUGCAGUAAAAAUUAAAGACUGAAGUGAAUUACAUUUCUUUUUAGAAAUAUUAAAAAUGAAAAUUAUUUUCGGAUUUGAAAGUAAAAUUGAAAUAGUAUGUUAAUUUGAAUUUAGCUCUAAGAUAUGUACAUAUCGCCCGUCACUCUUUUUAAGAUAAGUCGUAACAUAG
rnacentral:rRNA from 1 species